CGGAGCACGGCGGAGCUGCCGUGCCGGAGUUGCGAUAUUGACCGAAAGGGGCCCCGGGCCUAAUUUGGGAUUUUUUGGAACACGUGCAGGUACCGUUAGUGCGUUUCAGCUUCCCGGGAAAAAUUCAGGGAAAAUUGGGGACAGCCUGUAGGCGCACUGUGAAGCCGUGUUCGGACCCCUAAACGAGUAAGGACCCCUCACCCUAUUUCCUAUCACGGUAUUAAAGCUUAAUAAAUAAUUAAACGGUAUUUUGAGACUUUAUAGAUGUAUAAUUGAUUGAGAUUGCCAAUGGAGCCCGAGUAUGAUACAAUGUUGGUCUGUUAUUGUUUGAUCUAAUUUUCAGUAUUAAAUGCAGUAUGAGGUUUGAUGUUUUCAUUUUAUAGUUUCGUGUGCAUAUUUUACUGUUUUAUUGAUUAUUGGUUGAAUGACUGAAAUACCGAUACUGUAU
rnacentral:lncRNA from 1 species